AUGCUCGUAGUCCUCCUGCAGCUGAUCUAGCUGACGGUGACCGCAGUCCCGGACCGCGGUCGCGAUGUCUUUGACAGAAUGAGCCCCCGCAAUUCUCGAAAUACAGUCCUGGGUGAUGUUCACCCGCGAGCGGGCAUAAUCCAGCGCGUCUUGGCUGACCCGGAGGAUUUCGUGCAGAGCCAGUCUCUGUGCACCGAGAGAAAACCGCGUUCCCCGACCGGCAAUCU
rnacentral:misc_RNA from 1 species